GUUAUCCUGUCAGACAUUCUUUAUUAGUGCCUUGUCUUUCCCAACACGUACAAUGCAAAUGACCGUAAAUAGUCUUAAAGUUUGCGCAUAUGCAGAGGAGCACCAUACUGAGGAUGAAUAGUCACUACUGCAAAUGGAGCAUGUGUAUAUGAUGGUGAGAGUUCAAAGGAGAACCUUUGUAGUAUCAUUGCUAACGCCAUUUUCGCUUCCAUCAUUGCAAAGUUUUGUCCGAUGCAAACACGGGGUCCCCAGCUAAAUGGGAUAAAUGAAACUUGGCCUUUCGUUGCCUUUGACACUCCUUCGCUGAAUCUCUCUGGUUUGAAUUCCUUCGCGUCUUCACCCCAUAAUUCCUUGAUAUAAUGUACUAGGAUUGCGGGUAUAAUGAGUAGUACUUCAGCUGGCAGACUCAGCUCACCCAAUUUGAC
rnacentral:misc_RNA from 1 species